AGACGUUUGGGCGUCGUUAAAUAGCAGGUUAGGCCCAAAGCGUGGGAGCCAGAUGGCUCCCGGUCCUG
rnacentral:ribozyme from 1 species